UACCCGCUGAACUUAAGCAUAUCAAUAAGCGGAGGAAAGGGC
rnacentral:rRNA from 1 species